AAUUAUAACUUUGUGGCUGUGGUAUCUAGGAACGUCCACUAAAAGAGGGGGUGCCUGAUUUCUCGACCACUGAUGAUGACGUCACCCCACGGCUCUUGUUGCCAUAGCAGCCGAACACGACAACGGUCGUAAAAACACACAAAAAAAUAACGGAUACCAGAAAUAUUUUUUUUCUCACUGAACAGAUCUUUACAAAGAAAUAUUACCUUUUACUUUUGUUGUUGUUUUGUUUUAUCUGACAACGCCAGCUGUACGUAAAACUAGCUCAGGUCGCUAGCAGCGCCUAAAUUGUAUGCUAUAGCUAGUUUCGCUAACUAUAACGUUAGCUAGCUACAUUGUAUUGCUAGCUAGGUUAGCCUAGCAUGUUAACAUUGUCUAGCCGCUAUCUUAGCAGUUUGUGAAAAAUACUUUUAACAUAAAAUAAUAGUUUUCUAGUGUAGUUUAGCAAGGAAAUUUACCUGCUAAUGUUAUUAGCUAGUUCUAGCUAACGUUACAAGCUGGCCAAUGUGUUAUAUUGCUUUUAAAUAGUUUUAACACUUUGUUCUAGCUAGCUAAUUUGUGUAGGUAGGUAAAGUAAACACAAUGAUAUAGUUAGAGAAACAGCAUGUACACUCACUAGUACGAGCUGUGGCUAGUGUUUUUAGUUUGACAAUCCGACGAUGGCACUGUUAUUGGCCCCUAUAGGCCGAACUCAUGCAGCUGUAUGGUGACAAUGAGCUGAAAUGCCGAAUAGAGGCAUUUGAUCCAUUCAGAAUCGCUGCUACAUGAAUCUUUUCCGACAAUUAUCUGAGUUUGGACAGCAAUGUUUAGUCUGAUGGCGAAUUGUUGCAACUGGUUGAAACGCUGGCGGCAGCCCGCAAGAAAAAUAACACUGGUGAUGGUUGGACUUGACAACGCUGGGAAGACUGCUACAGUACGCGGGAUCCAGGGAGAGAGCCCAGAGGACGUGGCCCCUACGGUAGGGUUCUCCAAGGUGGAUCUGAAGCAGGGGAAGUUUGAGGUCACCAUCUUUGACCUGGGCGGAGGGAAGAGGAUCAGGGGCAUCUGGAAGAACUACUACAGCGAGUCGUACGGGGUGGUGUUCGUGGUGGACUCCAGUGAUGUUCAGAGGAUCCAGGAGACCAGGGACACUAUGGCUGAGGUCCUCCGACACCCUCGCAUCUCUGGGAAACCUGUCCUAGUAUUGGCUAACAAGCAGGAUCGGGACGGGGCAUUGGCUGAGGCAGACAUCAUUGAGAACCUGUCAUUGGAGAAGCUAGUGAACGAGAACAAGUGUCUCUGUCAGAUCGAGCCGUGUUCUGCUGUUCUGGGCUACGGUAAGAAGGGGGACAAGUCCAUCAGGAACGGACUCAACUGGCUGCUGAACAUCAUCGCCAAAGACUACGAAGCCAUCUCUGAACGCGUGCGGAAGGACACGGCCGAACAGAGGGCUCAGGAGGAACAGGAGAAGAGAGAGAGACAGGAGAGAGUACGGAGGAUACGGGAGGAGAGAGACCGUCAGGAGAAAGAGGAGGCGGAGAGGGAGGGUCGGACACUGCAUGAGGAGGAGGAGACCGACGACGCCACCGUACACAGCCCCUUCCAGCCAAUCGGCAACGUCAUCAAUGAGAAUGAAGACAAGCUGAAGAAGAGACCGACAGGAGGUCAGGUGGGUGGUGCCAACGAUGCUGGAGAAGGAGGGCAGGAAGAGGAAGAGGAGGAGGAGGAGGAGGAGGAAGAGGACAGCGAGAGACAGACUCCAGAAAGCGGUGCAGCCUCAGUGGAGAGGACGAAGAAGAAGACGAGUAAACUGAGACUGAAGAGGAAACACAGAGUGGACCCUCUGAGGACGGAGGAGACAGCAGCCCCCGAGAGCCCCACACCUCCACCACUACCUGGUGAGAGACACACCUCCACCACUACCUGUGGGAUGGGCUACUCCCAAAAUGUCUAGGCUUCCCAAGCUGGAGCCUCUUGGCGAUAGGAGCCGAUCCGGUAAUGAUGUUUAAAGUGACUGUCUAGACCUGUCAUCUGACUGUCUCCACCACCACCACUCCACUGCUAGUUCUUCGGCAAGCCCCUCCCUCCCGUGGCCAACCGUCAACAACAACCUAACAGCGACACUCAUGAUGUCAUAUCCUAGCCCCUCCCCUCCACCGGGCUCCUCCUUCCUUACCCGAUUGGUUUAUCCCAUCCCCGAGCCCCACCUUCAAUUCAAACAACAUUAAAAUGACAGUCUCUUUGGUUUCUUUUCAAAGUACGUGCUGUGUAGAGGUCUACGGACUCCACCACCAGCCGAGAUGAUGCUCCCAAGACCAAUGAACCACCGCCACCGUCGGCCCCGAGCUCACAGGACUACGAUGGUGGAGCGGACUGUCCAACCCUGGAGAGAGAGGGAGGGUGACUGGGUGGGCCCUGGAGAGAGAGAGAGAGGAUGACUGGGUGGGCCCUGGAGAGAGACGGAGGGUGACUGGGUGGGCCCUGGAGAGAGAGAGAGA